CUUACUUUCUCUAAAAGUUCAAUGAACAGAAAAUUGUUGGGGGCGGAACAGAUCUGGACAAGGAGAAGUCUGGAGACAAAUGUGAGAAGGGAGGGACAGGCAGUAGAAGCACAAGUGAAACUGUUUGAGCAGCAUAUUCCAGAAGUCUUGAGGUCUUUCUGAGCAUAGCCUUCACUGAUUUGAGUUCUAACGUAUCAUUCUCUCACUAGAAGGGAAAA